rnacentral:rRNA from 1 species
UUAUUACUGCAAAGAAAUAUAUAUUUAUUUAAAGUUUAUUACCUUUUGCAUAAUGGUUUAAUAAAAUAUAUUAAAAUUAUAUAUCCCGAAGUUAGAAGAUCUAAUUAUAUUAACUUAUUAGAAAUAAUUUAUAUAAUGUUUCAAAAUUAUAAAUAUAAAUAUAAUUAGGGGUGAAAGGCCUAUCAAUUCUAAAGAUAUCUGGAAUAAUUUUAAAUGUAUUUAGUACAAAUUGAGAUUUGAAUAAAAAAAUGUUAAGAUUUUUUUAAUUAUAGAAUAUUAAAUUAAAUGUAUUAUAUGAGUUAAUCCUCUAAUAUUAAUUUAUUAAAAUAAUUUAAUAUUAAGUAUAUCUAUAUAUUAAAAUUAUAUUUAAAUUUAAUUAAAUUAAGAAUUAACUAUGUUAAAAUUAGUAUAUAUUUUUUGUUUUAUUAAGGAACUCGGCUAAUUAUUAUUCACCUGUUUAUCAAAAACAUAGUCUUAUGUAUUUAUAUAAGGUGAAACCUGCCCACUGAUGUUAAAUUUAAUGGCCGCAGUACCUUGACUGUGCUAAGGUAGCAUAAUAAAUUGACUUUUAAUUGGGGCCUUGAAUGAACGGAUAAAUGGAUAAUUUCUGUCUCAAUAAAAAUUUUAUAAGUUACUUAAAAGGUGAAAAUUCCUUUAAAUAAAUUAAAUAGACGAGAAGACCCUAGGAGUUUUUAAUUUUGUUGGGGCGACAGUAUAGCAUUAUAACCUAUAUAUAAAUAUUUAUAUAAAACGAAUAAUUUUAAUAAUAAAUAAACUACCCUAGGGAUAACAGCAUAAUUUAAUUUUAAGUUUGUGACCUCGAUGUUGGACUAGGGACUUUAAAGCUAACAGUGUUAAUUGA